rnacentral:rRNA from 1 species
GGCUUACGGGUAGCUGGUCUGAGAGGAUGGUCAGCCACACUGGGACUGAGACACUGCCCAGACUCCUACGGGAGGCUGCAGUCGAGAAUCAUUGUCAAUGCACGAAAGUGUGAACAUGCGACGCCGCGUGGAGGAAGACGGCCUUUGGGUUGUAAACUCCUGUCAGCAGGGAAGAAAGAUGG